rnacentral:tRNA from 1 species
GGGUGGGUGGCUCAGUGGUUAGAGCAUAGGGCUUGGAACCGAGAGGUCUCGGGUUCGAAUCUCGCAAGAGGCA